AGAGAGCCUGAGAAACGGCUACCACAUCCAAGGAAG
rnacentral:rRNA from 1 species